AUAACUCCGGGAAACCGGGGCUAAUACCGGAUAACAUUUUGAACUGCAUGGUUCGAAAUUGAAAGGCGGCUUCGGCUGUCACUUAUGGAUGGACCCGCGUCGCAUUAGCUAGUUGGUGAGGUAACGGCUCACCAAGGCAACGAUGCGUAGCCGACCUGAGAGGGUGAUCGGCCAC
rnacentral:rRNA from 1 species